UACGUAGGGUGCAAGCGUUGUCCGGAAUUAUUGGGCGUAAAGAGCUCGUAGGCGGUCUGUCGCGUCUGCUGUGAAAACUCAGGGCUUAACCCUGAGCUUGCAGUGGGUACGGGCAGACUAGAGUGCGGUAGGGGAGACUGGAAUUCCUGGUGUAGCGGUGAAAUGCGCAGAUAUCGCUUGGAACGCCAAAGGUGAAGACAGGUUGCUGGGGGUGUACCGACGCUGAGACGCGAAAGCCAGGGGAGCAAACGGG
rnacentral:rRNA from 1 species